AGCUCCAAUAGCGUAUAUUAAAGUUGUUGCAGUUAAAAAGCUCGUAGUUGAAUUUGUGGUGUGUCCAGUCGGCCUUUGCUCUUUGAGUGACAGUGUUGUAACUGGUCUGCCAUGUUUGGGUGGAAUCUGUGUGGCAUUAAGUUGUCGUGCAGGGGAUGCCCAUCGUUUACUGUGAAAAAAUUAGAGUGUUCAAAGCAGGCUUAUGCCUUGAAUAUAUUAGCAUGGAAUAAUAAUAUAGGACCUUGGUACUAUUUUGUUGGUUUGCGCACUGAGGUAAUGAUUAAGAGGGACAGUUGGGGGUAUUUGUAUUCCAUUGUCAGAGGUGAAAUUCUUGGAUUUUUGGAAGACAAACUACUGCGAAAGCAUUUACCAAGGAUGUUUUCAUUAAUCAAGAACGAAA
rnacentral:rRNA from 1 species